GAAGCCAACGGAAAGAGGCUGCGAUGAAAACAAAACGACGCUCACAAGAACGCCUUUUUCGUAGCAACUUAAACAACAUUUGCAUUUAUGACAACUGUUUUCGUCUAGAUAUAAACUGAUUUUACACUUUUAUUUAUUUAGAUAGACCAAAUAUAUUCCCCUAUUUUACGUCAAAAGUAUAACAAAUCAUACUAGCUUAGCAUUAGCUGUCAAAAAGCCAGCUAGCUUAGCUUCUCCCGGGAAUUCUGAGUUCAUCAUCGACAACUUUAACAAUAACAAACAACAAUGUCGGACGAUUAUGAAUUCAGCGAUGACACUACUAUGAUGAGAAUGGAAGAGGAUGGAGAGGCAAACAGCGAUGACCCGAUGUCUGCAACCGGGGACUGUGGCCUGAUGGGGGGCGAGGCCGAGGGAUCCAAGAUCGACGCCAGUAAAAACGAGGAGGAUGAGGGGAAGAUGUUUGUAGGAGGGCUCAGCUGGGACACCACUAAGAAGGACCUGAAAGAUUAUUUUUCCAUAUAUGGGGAAGUUGUAGACUGCACUUUAAAACUGGACCCCAUGACGGGCCGCUCGAGGGGCUUUGGCUUUGUCCUCUUCAAGGAACCUGAUAGUGUCGACAAGGUUGCUACACAGAAGGAACAUAAACUCAAUGGAAAGGUCAUUGAUCCCAAGAAAGCCAAGGCGAUGAAGAGCAAGGAGCCUGUUAAGAAGAUUUUUGUUGGUGGUCUUUCUCCCGACACCCCUGAAGAGAAAGUCAGAGAGUACUUUAGUGCCUUCGGAGAGCUGGAGUCAGUUGAACUUCCCAUGGAGAACAAAACAAACAAAAGGAGAGGCUUCUGCUUCAUCACAUUCAAAGAGGAGGAACCAGUUAAGGGGAUCAUGGAGAAGAAGUACCACAAUAUUGGACUGAGCAAGUGUGAAGUAAAAGUGGCAAUGUCCAAGGAGCAGUACCAGCAGCAGCAGUACUGGGGGGGCAGAGGAGGGUACUCUUCUAGGUCUCGAGGAAGAGGUGGCGGUCCCAAUCAAAAUUGGAACCAGGGUUAUGGCAACUACUGGAAUCAAGGCUAUGGGAAUUAUGGCAAUUAUGGUUACGGAGAUCAAGGAUAUGGAGGAUAUGGAGGAUAUGGAGGCUAUGGAGGCUAUGGAGGCUAUGAUUACCCUGGUUACAACAACUAUUAUGGAUAUGGUGACUACAGCAUAGAUCAGUCUGGUGGAUAUGGCAAGUCGCCGCGGCGCGGUGGUCACACCAACAGUUACAAGCCGUAUUAACAGAGGGAACUCAUCUUCAAGUAGCGGAGCUUCCUUGCAGGCCAUGAGCUGACCCCAGAUACUCUCAGGGCCCGCUCAAUGCGGACCGGGUACGAGAAGCAUACGCUCUCGAAUGCUGCCAUUUGGGUUCAGAGUGAUGAAAGGCAGCAGAGUGAAGGUUUCCAGCUGAGAGCACUAGCUGAUUUAUUUCCGGGCAACCCGCGUGGAUGUUCUUUGGAACGUGUCAGCCUGAAAGAGACCAAGAGAAAACCUUUUUAAAACACCAGUGAUGGAAGAACUACCCACAUCCUUUUACUUAAAGGGGAACUCCACCGAUUUCACCGAACAACUGUAUAGUGUCUUUGUGUCCCCAGGUGGAGCUGCGGGAAGUCAGAUAUACAGUAUAUUGAAAACAACAGACUAGCACCUGAACCCAGACCUAACUUUUGAAGAUCAAGUUGCAUUGUGGGUAAUAAAGGUGCCAGGUGAGAACAAUUAGUGUAUGGCCUAGUAAGAAAAAUACAUGAAUUCCUGCUUUGUUCAGCACGAAUAUAGAAAAUGGUGGAGUACUCUUUAAAGUAAAAGUACCAAAACUAGAAUGUAAUAGCACUUAUUUACAAAAGUCAUGCACUUUAAAAUUAAAUUACAAAAGUAGUAACAAGUGUUUAAUUUGGGAAAUAACUCAUAAAAUGACAGAUUUUUUUUUUCACACAGUAAUAAGGUUGUUAACCACUGUGUUUAAUAAAUAUAUUUUUUGCAGGUUAAAUCUUAAUAUGAAAAGUAAUUAAAUUAGGCUACAAACUACAUAACUCUAAAACAGCCAAAAACUGUUUAACUUUAAUCUGUUAGUAAAUUAUUUAAAGUUAUUUGGGUGUGGGGCAUUGAGUAAGAGAGACAAAGAAAAAACAAAAACACAAAUGUUUUAUGGGGCCCUGGAUUAUUUACACAAUAUUAUCAUGUGUAUUUUGAAUGAGCAAUAUUUCCUGUUUUUAUAUCACAGAUAUGAUUGAUACAUAUAUAUUGUUACACUUUUACUCUGGCAUGUAAUGGAGAAGAUCUAUCAUUUAAAGGAGAAGUAACCCUUUGAAUGAAAGAUAUAUGAAAACUAAUUGUUAACAUCAGGGUGGAAAGCCAACACUGAACCAUCUGGAUCAGAU